rnacentral:rRNA from 1 species
GAGUUUGAUCGUGGCUCAGAUUGAACGCUGGCGGCAUGCCUUACACAUGCAAGUCGAACGGCAGCACGGGAGCUUGCUCCUGGUGGGCGAGUGGCGAACGGGUGAGUAAUGCAUCGGAAUGUAUCCUGGAGUGGGGGAUAACGUAGCGAAAGUUACGCUAAUACCGCAUAUUCUGUGAGCAGGAAAGCGGGGGACCUUCGGGCCUCGCGCUCUUGGAGCGGCCGAUGUCGGAUUAGCUAGUUGGUGAGGUAAAGGCUCACCAAGGCGACGAUCCGUAGCAGGUCUGAGAGGAUGAUCUGCCACACUGGAACUGAGACACGGUCCAGACUCCUACGGGAGGCAGCAGUGGGGAAUUUUGGACAAUGGGGGCAACCCUGAUCCAGCCAUGCCGCGUGAGUGAAGAAGGCCUCGG